ensembl:lncRNA
AUGUUGGAGGUUUCACAUGGUGCCACAUGCAAGGUUUCAACCCUUAAAGAACGACAGGAUCUUGUCAAUGCAGCACUAACAUACUAUCUGGAGGGACGGAUAGAGAUGCCUCUCAAACAACUUAAAGAAGGACUGGAGACAUUGGGGGUGCUAAAUGCUAUAAAGGAGCACUCUUCCAUUAUGGAGGAACUCUUUUGUGGUAGUCCAAACACCUUGUCAGCUGCCUCCUUGAUGGACCUCUUCACAGUACAUUACUCCCCAAGAGGAACUGACAAGAGACCCUUGGAGGAGGUGGCAGUUAGUCACUGGCGGGAUUGGAUUAUUGAAGUUGAAGGUUGUAGCGUAUCAGACCUGAACCAGACAAAUAAAAGAUUCGAUCAGGACCAUGGUUGA